rnacentral:rRNA from 1 species
AUGGAGGCGACGGUGGUCAGCGUGGGAAAGUCCGUGCUCGUCGGAGCGCUAGGCUACGCCAGGUCCAAGGCCGCGGAGGAAGUUGCCCUGCAGCUUGGAGUUGAGGGUGAUGUCUCCUUCAUCGCCGAAGAGCUCGAGAUGAUGCAGUCCUUCCUCAUGACUGCCGACCAAGGGCGCGGCCAGCAAAAGGUGAUCACCACCUGGGUGAAGCACGUCCGCGACCUGGCCUACCUCGUGGAGGACAGCCUCAUGGACUUCUCCCUCCUCUCGGAGAAGAAGAAGUCUUGGUGGCGCAGCCGGCGAACCAUGGUGGAGCGCCGCCGCAUCGCCAAGGAGAUGAAGAAGCUCAGGGCCAAGGUAGAGGACGUGAGCAACAGAAACUUCCGUUACCGCCUCAUCGGCGACAGCUCAGGUUCCAAGCCUACCGUGGCAGAGGAGCAUGCCGGCAUUGCUGCUGCGGCAAUGUUUGUCGCUGUUGAGCGCAGUCCAUCAUCAAAGGUGGACCUCCGCCAGCUUAUUACGAGCAAUGAUGUGGACCUCAGGGUGAUCGCCGUGUGGGGAACUAGCGGUGAUCUCGGGAAGACGUCUGCCAUCCAUGAGGUUUAUGAAGACCCAAAGUUACAGAAAAAGUUUGGAUUCUGUGCUUGGAUUAGCUUGAUGCAUCCUUUCGAUCCACAAGAGUUCCUCAGGAGCUUGGUGAGGCAAUUUUAUGAAAAUUCCCAUGAUGAGGCCGGAGAACUAGACCAGGAAACGAAUGUUGGGGCUAAUGUUCUGACCAAGAUGGAGAGGAUGAAUCAAAGUGAUUUAGUCUGUGUGUUUACUGAGCAGUUGAGUAGAAAUAGUUACCUGGUUGUAAUUGAUGACCUAUCCACAAUAGCGGAGUGGCAUUGUAUAAGGAAGUACUUUCCUGACAACAAGAAACAAAGUAGAAUCAUCGUAUCCACGCAGCAAGCAGAAAUUGCAAGCCUGUGCAUAGAGAAAACGUACCAAGUUUCGGAAUUCAAGCAGUUGUCAUGUGAUCAAACUAUCUAUUUGUUUCACAAGAAGACUUCAGAGGAACUGGUUAGUGUUAAUGAGGCAAAGUUGGACAGCAAUGAUGAAGCAAGGCUUGCUGCUGUGGAGGAGAAACUGAAGGGUAUGCGUGCAUCAUGUUCUGCCAUGCCCAUUUCUCACUUAAAGAAAGUUGCUACUACCGAGAAAAAUACAACAAUGCUCACCAAUGAAAUACAGGAGGAAGAUCCAGAACCCCAAAAUGCAGGUGAAGACAAACUUUACAAUUCAACUGCUAGAAAUAAAUUUGAUCGCAGCAGGACACUGGUGCUAGCUGAUGAAGUGCUAUGUGGGCGAGAAACAGAGAAAUCCAUUCUUAUUAAAUUAGUUGGCCAACCAGACAACAAUGAUGGCUGUAAGGUAAUCUCAGUUUGGGGAAUGGGGGGUCUUGGGAAAACAACUCUUGUCCGAAGUAUCUACCAAAGCCAGCAGCUUGGUGGUUGGAAGCGUGCUUGGGCCACUGCAAUGCGUCCUUUUAAUCCUGAAGUACUCCUUAGAGAUUUGGCUUUGCAGCUUCAGCAUACUAUUCAAGAAGAUCCUACCGGAUCAGCAACAAUUGGAAUACAAAAGAAAAGCAUAUUGGGGAUGAAACUUCAAGAGUUGAAGGAGGAGUUAGUUCGGGUGCUAAAAAUGGAAAGGUGCCUUGUUGUUCUUGAUGAUAUAUCGUCCACUUCUGAAUGGGAGUUGGUCAAAUCGUAUUUGGAUAAUGCUGGAAGAAUCAUAGUCACCACAAGAGAAAAAAAUAUUGCCAGGCAAUGUUCAGGAGAAUACAAGAACAUGUGCUAUCUUGAAGGUUUGACAGAUGACGCUGCACUUGACCUCUUCAUAAAGAAGGUAUUCAAGGAUAAUAUUGGAAAAAAUGAUUUAGUCCCAGCUAUGAUGGAGCAAGCAAGAGUUACCCUGCAGAAAUGUGACGGACUUCCCCUUGCAAUAUCGACUAUUGGUGGAUUCCUAGCCACUAAGCCAAAAACUGCUAUUGAAUGGAGGAAGAUGAAUGAUCGUAUUAGCACUGAAUUGGAAAUAAAUCCAGAACUUAGGACAAUAAGGACAAUUCUUAUGAGGAGCUACGAUGGUCUGCCAUACCAUCUCAAGUCAGCUUUCUUAUACUUGUCCAUUUUUCCAGAAUACCACAGAAUAAGGUGGGGUCGCUUGGUGAGGCGGUGGAUUGCAGAGGGUUACUCAAGGGAUAUGCAUGGCAUGACUGCAGCUGAAUUUUGUCAGAGGUACUUUGACGAGCUCCUGGAUAGGAGUAUGAUCCUACCAGGGGAAGGCAUAGACCAUUACAGCCAGAAAAUCAGUUCUUGCCAACUUCAUGAUAUGAUCCGUGAAAUAUGCAUCUCAAAGGCUAGGGAGGAAAACCUUGUUUUCACGCUUGAGGAAGGCUGUUGUUUGAGCGACACACAAGGUGCAAUACGCCAUCUUGUCAUAGGAAGCAAUUGGAAAAGGGAUAAAGAUGCGUUGGAGAGCAUGCUAGACUUGUCGCACGUACGGUCAUUGACCGUGUUCGGAGAAUGGAGAUCAUUUUUUCUCUCUGAUAAUAUGAGGUUCCUGCGAGUGCUUGACUUAGAAGACACGCUGGGGUUAAGAGAUCAUCAUCUUGAUCAAAUCGGGAAGCUCAGUCACCUCAAGUACCUUUCUCUACGAGGAUGUCACAGCAUUUUAUAUCUUCCUAAUUCUUUGCGGAAUUUGCAGCACCUCCAAACGCUGGAUGUUAGAGGUACAAGUAUAUUUGAGUUACCAACAACAAUCACCAAUCUUAGGAAGCUACAACACCUUCGAGCAGAUGGUUAUUGGAACAGAGGAUGCAAUGUCAAGGAAAAGGAUGACAUAGUUAAGAAUUAUGAAGAUUACACUGGUUGCAUUUCCAAUUCUGCAUGUCAAACAUGUGGCAUUUGUUUUCCGCGAGGUCAUCUUUUCUUGAGACCACAAAGUUUAGACGCUGGUUUGAACAGGUAUGAUAUACUCAAUCUGUUCCGUGUAUCUAAGGUGCGUCGAUGUGGCAUUGUACUUCCUAGAGGGAUUGGUGAACUGAAGGACCUUCACACACUAGGUGUUGUCCAUGUUUCUCGUAGCAAUGGAAAGGCCACUAUAAAAGAGUUUGUAGAUCUUACUCAGCUCCGUAAGCUUAAAGUGGUUGGUAUGAGCUACAGAAACAGCAAUGAUUUUUGGUCUGCCAUUGCUGGUCACAAUCAACUUCAGUCUCUGUCAGUUGAAGCAAAGGAGGAUCUGCCCGAAGAGAGGAAUCGUUUAGAUGGCUGUCUGGGUGAGGGUUUGUUGCCACCAAGCAGCCUCGAGAGCCUCACUCUGUUUGGUAGGCUAGUCUGUGUGACAGCAUGGAUCCAUAAGCUUCAGAAUCUCUCCAAGUUGGUGCUAGAGCGUACCGAAUUGAAGCAGAAUGAUGAUGCCAUACAAGCCCUUGGGUGUCUACCAUGUCUUGCAGUUCUUCGCCUGAAGAAUAACUCGUUCGUGGGGACACAGCUCCAUUUCCAGAGCUCAUUUUUCCAGAGUUUCAUGGUGCUGGAGCUCGAUGGAUUGAGUGACCUAGAAUCGGUGUUGUUUGGAGAUGACACAAUGCCUAAGCUGGAGCUGCUACAAGUUAGUUGGUGCUACUGCUUGGGAGAGGACGCAUUCUCCGGUCUGACAGCCCUCAUAAGCCUCAAGGAAAUUCGGUUGACUAGUAAACGUGUGCAGGAAGAGGUGCAGAGGCAGGUCGCGGAACAUAUGAAGCACGUCAGGGUGAAUAUCAUCUAA